GACGAACGCUGGCGGCGUGCUUAACACAUGCAAGUCGAACGGAAAGGCCCUGCUUUUGUGGGGUGCUCGAGUGGCGAACGGGUGAAUAGCACGUGAGUAACCUGCCCUUGACUUUGGGAUAACUUCAGGAAACUGGGGCUAAUACCGGAUAGGAGCUCCUGCUGCAUGGUGGGGGUUGGAAAGUUUCGGCGGUUGGGGAUGGACUCGCGGCUUAUCAGCUUGUUGGUGGGGUAGUGGCUUACCAAGGCUUUGACGGGUAGCCGGCCUGAGAGGGUGACCGGCCACAUUGGGACUGAGAUACGGCCCAGACUCCUACGGGAGGCAGCAGUGGGGAAUAUUGCACAAUGGGCGGAAGCCUGAUGCAGCAACGCAGCGUGCGGGAUGACGGCCUUCGUGUUGUAAACCGCUUUCGCCUGUGACGAAGCGUGAGUGACGGUAAUGGGUAAAGAAGCACCGGCUAACUACGUG
rnacentral:rRNA from 1 species